GAUGAAGAACGUAGCGAAAUGCGAUACGUAAUGUGAAUUGCAGAAUUCAGUGAAUCAUCGAAUCUUUGAACGCAUAUUGCGCUCUCUGGUAUUCCGGAGAGCAUGCUUGUUUGAGUAUCAGUAAACACCUCAACUUCCAUAUCUUUUUUGAAAUGGGAGUUGGACUUGAGUGAUCCCAACGCUUUUCCUCACCGAAAAGUGGCGGGUUACUUGAAAUGCAGGUGCAGCUGGACUUUUCUCUGAGCUAUAAGCAUAUCUAUUUAGUCUGCCUAAAAAACAGAUUAUUACCUUUGCUGCAGCUAACAUAAAGGAGAUUAGGUCUUGUGCUGACUGAUGCAGGAUUCACAAAGACGGCUUCGGCCGACUUUGUAAACUCGAUCUCAAAUCAAGUAAGACUACCCGCUGAACUUAAGCAUAUCAAUAAGCGGAGGA
rnacentral:misc_RNA from 1 species